rnacentral:rRNA from 1 species
UACGGAGGGUGCAAGCGUUGUUCGGAAUUACUGGGCGUAAAGCGCGUGUAGGCGGCCGAUUAAGUCUGGUGUGAAAGCCCGGGGCUCACCCCCGGAAGUGCGCUGGAAACUGGUCGGCUAGAGUAUGGGAGAGGAAAGUGGAAUUCCCGGUGUAGUGGUGAAAUGCGUAGAGAUCGGGAGGAACACCUGUGGCGAAGGCGGCCGACUGGGCCGACCCUGACGCUGAGGCGCGAAGGCGUGGGGAGCGAACGGG